GAUGAACGCUGGCGGCGUGCCUAAUACAUGCAAGUCGAGCGAACAGAUGAGGAGCUUGCUCCUCUGACGUUAGCGGCGGACGGGUGAGUAACACGUGGAUAACCUACCUAUAAGACUGGGAUAACUUCGGGAAACCGGAGCUAAUACCGGAUAAUAUAUUGAACCGCAUGGUUCAAUAGUGAAAGACGGCUUUGCUGUCACUUAUAGAUGGAUCCGCGCCGCAUUAGCUAGUUGGUAAGGUAACGGCUUACCAAGGCGACGAUGCGUAGCCGACCUGAGAGGCUGGUAGGCCACAUUGGAACUGAGACACGGACCAGAUUCCUACGGGAGGCAGCAGUAGGGAAUCUGCCGCAAUGGGCGAAAGCCUGACGGAGCAACGCCGCGUGAGUGAUGAAGGUCUUCGGAUCGUAAAACUCUGUUAUUAGGGAAGAACAAAUGUGUACGUAACUAUGCACGUCUUGACGGUACCUAAUCAGAAAGCCACGGCUAACUACGUG
rnacentral:rRNA from 1 species